rnacentral:rRNA from 1 species
GAUGAACGCUGGCGGCGUGCUUAACACAUGCAAGUCGAACGGUGAAGGCGGAGCUUGCUCUGCUGGAUCAGUGGCGAACGGGUGAGUAACACGUGAGCAAUCUGCCCCUGACUCUGGGAUAAGCGCUGGAAACGGCGUCUAAUACUGGAUACGAGCUGCGAAGGCAUCUUCAGCAGCUGGGAAGAAUGUCGGUCAGGGAUGAGCUCGCGGCCUAUCAGCUUGUUGGUGAGGUAAUGGCUCACCACGGCGUCGACGGGUAGCCGGCCUGAGAGGGUGACCGGCCACACUGGGACUGAGACACGGCCCAGACUCCUACGGGAGGCAGCAGUGGGGAAUAUUGCACAGUGGGCGAAAGCCUGAUGCAGCAACGCCGCGUGAGGGACGACGGCCUUCGGGUUGUAAACCUCUUUUAGCAGGGAAGAAGCGAAAGUGACGGUACCUGCAGAAAAAGCGCCGGCUAACUACGUG